GAAAUAGCUCAGUUAGGAGAGCGUUAGACUGAAUAUCUAAAGGUACCUGGUUCGAUUCCGGUUUAAUUUU
rnacentral:tRNA from 1 species